rnacentral:misc_RNA from 1 species
UGUUUUAUUUUGAAUCCUUCCGUGAAUAAACAGUCAGCCUUUCUAGCCUUUACUGCAGGCACAAGCAGAGCCAUGAACAGAUGCACACAGACGUACACAGCAGCAGGCAGCAUUGUUUAGUGAGCCCGGACAGGCCCGGAGCGUCUCCCAGCUCGGCUUUGUUGUUCAAAAUGGCGUUGAUGGACUGUCCUCGGCGGGGAGUGUGAUCACCCUGCACGCCACCACCCAGCCGCCUCACACCUAAGGCGUGGCUGAGUGGGUGUUGCCCAUCCCUUACUUGUGGCAGUCAUGGAUAGACAGUGGUCACUGUAAUUGAGUGGUGCCAGAUAACAUGGCAGAUCUAUCUGAGCACAAGGAUGGGGGAGAUGAUGGGAAGCCAGACACUGCAAUAGCUCUGGCGGAAGGGUCUUCUGAACUGCAGUGCACUUCUUCAGGAGUUUGUGGUGAUGACCCUCACCAAAGCAAACGAUCAACACUUCUGUCUUCAGAACUGCAUCAGAAUGAAUGUGGAAGCGUUAGUGUGCACUCAGUGGAAGCAAAGGGUGCAAAGUCUUAUGAAGAAGCAGCAGGUAACCCAAGAAAGCUGGUGCUUGAGGAUGGAAAUGAGGCACAAAAGGACUUUAAGAUACAGGAUGAAACAGUUUGUGGUUUUGAUGAAUCCAAGCUAGCAAAGACAAAUGUGUCUCAGGCAAAGGAUCCUCCUGACAAAGAGAAUGAUCAAGGUGAAGGGAAGCUUUUAGCCUCUGAGCAGAAUGAGGCUCCACCUCAGGAAGAUGCUUCAAAUGAAAUUCAGUCUGUUAGUACAAAACCAUCAGAGACUACUGUAUCCUUGAAUAACAGUAAUAGUGAGCAUCCAUCACCUUGCACUCUACCAAUGUCUGAAGCGACACACACUAGAGACAUAUUAAAAGAGGCCAAUUCAUCCACAGAAACUCUUGUCCCUUCUACUCUCGGAUGUCAAGAGUCAUUAACAAGUUUAUCAAAACCCUCUUUAUCUACAGUAAAGUCACCUGAAUUAAAUCUAGAUUUAUCAAGCUUUGUAUCAAGUGAUCAUCAACAAGAAAAAUUAAUGGAGGCUGUGGUAGAGUCACAGGACUCCUCCAAAAGUAGCUUACAAUUUGAGUGUGUAGAGCCAACUGGGGUUGAAGGUAGUUCUACACAAUCAUCUUCCAUCUCUUCAUUAAGUGACCUGUGUUCGGCAAGUGAAGUAAAGCACACUAUUAUUGAUGCCGUUUCCCAGUCCUAUUCUGUUACAUCUUCAGCCACACAGAUAAGCAGUGUCCAGCAGGAGUUGGGUAAUGAUGUGGUACAGUUGGUGAAUCAGAGUGAGGAUAAAAAGACUGAGCCUCACUCACAGACUAGUAAAACCCAGUGCCCACAGGAGUCUAUCAGUGCAGAAAAUAAGAGGCAGGAUAGAGACAGUGGUGAAAAGGAUGGUGCUAUUAUUGAACAAGCAAAACAUUGUAUGGAAAAUGAGGUGCCUGAUAAUUCAGAAAUCCUUACUGGUCAAAGUGAAAUGAAUGUAGAACAGAAUGAAAGUUGUAAUGAUGUGAGUUUAACGAGUGAAACAGGUAUGGGAACACUGCCACUGAUAGUAGCCACUCAUUCCUUGUCUCAAGAACAAGAUACAGAGAUGUCUGAAAAAAGGGUGCAAACACCUCUAGAAUCCACCGAAAUGGAUGCCACAAACAAGAAAAUAGUGCCGUUAUUAGAAUCUGAACCUCUCAAGCCAGUUACCAUUGGCAGUAGCUUACAGCCUUUGGAAUUAAUUCAGGAGGCAUCCAUGGUGGAGGACACACCCAUCACUACAGACAUAGCCAUUAUUGAUAGCAGUGCUGAUGAAGCUGACAGUAUUGGUGGGCUGGUGAUAAAUAAUGUGAUUGGUGCGGCUGAUGGAGUGGUUGACUUUCACCCUGAUGAUGCAGAAACAGAAAAGGAACUGACUGACAUUAGUGCAUCAGCUCCCCUGCUAGGGGAAGGUAGUGACUCCAGUGAUGAACAUGGACCUUGUGCCAAGAGGAGAAGGUUGGAGAAUGGACCAAAUGGUGUGGAGGACAAGUCAAAUAGUGCAAAUAGAGUCAUUUUUAAGGUUAUUCCUGUGAAAAAUGGUCAUGGAGUGUGGAAUUCUCAGAAAUUACAGGAAGUUCUGUUAGCUAAAGGUACUAUUCUCCUUCAAAUUCAUGCAUCCAAGGAAAGCAUGGAACUGUUCGAAGCAGAGAAAGAUGAGAAAAAAGUGGACUUCACUGCCAUCAUGGCAGAGACAAAGGAUGACGACCAUGACCAAAUCUCCUUUGUCACUGUUGAACCAGAGGGUGAUGACCCUUUGGCUGUAUCAGCCUCCCAUCCAUCCUUCAGCCGCCCUUUGCCACACACCCAUAGACUAUCCACGGCCCUCCAGCCAGCCAUAUCAAGACCAGCAUUCAAGCAUCUGCAAACCCCACAGUUUCCAUGGUGACUGCAGCUGAUGGACAACACUUCAGCUGUUAGCCUCACAUGAGUCUUCACCCUGCUUGAAGAAAGCUGCUCAAUGGAAUUUCACAUGAAGAAUGAGGUGCUUGGCCUGCCACCACCACUGGAGUUUGAGGAGCCUCAGAUGGGUAAUACAGACUGGUCAG